GCUCAGCUUUUCGAUGGCAUAAUUUCUAUGGUUACAACAGCCUCCACAAGGCAGAAGUUGGCAUGCCAUGAGCUCAGCACAUGGUGAAGGAAUGCCAAGAUAUUCACCCAGCCAGGACUGUUGGGAAAAUUUAACUGGUCAGCAGUUGAGAUAAACAAGUAUAAGCAAGCAUAGGGGGGGGGGGGGGG